GGCUGGUGGGACAGUCUCUGCGCACGCCGCGCACAGCCCGGGGGCGCCAUCAUGUCGGCCCCUUUGCCCACCCUCUGCACCAAGCACCUGCAGCGCCCCCUUUGUCCCCGGGACUGUCGCGAUGGCACUGCUAGCGGCCCCGGUCGCACCCUGGAAACCUCCGGGGCGAGGGAAGGACCAUGAAAUAAAAGAUGAAACUGAAGGAACUGACUACCGUGGAAACAGUGGAUCACUCCGGGAGUUGGAAUUACAGUGUUGGGCCUUAAAUGAUUUUCCCAAGCUCACCCCAGUGGAGCCUGGAUGCACAUUGUCUGCCUACAAAUCUCAAGAAGACCGAUGCCUCCAUUAUCUAAGCCACCGGCUCCCACCUGUCUUCCAUUUCUACGAAGCCCUCAUACGCAGUUAACAAGCCAGUAUUAUGGAUUGAAAAUAUGGGAAGAUGCUAGAGAUCAUGGCCCUUUGCAGCCAUCACUCCCUCAUGACCAAAUAUGCCUACAGCCAGGACCACUUGGAGAAAUUUCCCUCUUUCACCAAGAUCUGCACCGCUCCCUCUCGGGAGCCGUCUCCGCCUCGACCUCUCCCAAAACUGGCUCUACGAGUAACACCCACUGAGCCCUGGACUCUCGCUGGUGCCAAGUGCUGCAAUAGACCGUCCUCUCGGCAGCCCGGCGAGGCAGAUUCAAUUAGUUCCUGCAUUUUGCUGGAGAGACAAAUGAGGUUUGGAGACAAAGUAAUUUUCCCAUUCACGCAGCGUUAAGCGGGGCAGCUGGGCCCUGUGACAGCCAUGCUCACUCCUCUGUCCUCACAUUCCACGCCACCCCUCUGCUGUGCGUAACACUGCACCUUCCACUCAAACCACUCCCCAGCGACAUUGGAGCAAAGCAGAGAAAGAAAAAAGGGAAAGAAAUAUGAUCUUCUGAGAACUCUCAAGCUCCAGGAAGACAAGGAUUCGGCUUGUUCGUUGCUGUCUGUAUCCCAGGGCUGGGAAUCCUGGACACAACACAUGCAGGGGCCCAGAAUUCACUGUGGAAUAAAUGGGUGGAUGGAUUCAAAGUCCUCUCUCGGAGUUAAUUUUUCAGCAAGAAGAGCAACAGUCAGGGUCUUUGAGUGCAGCUCACAUGCACACCCAUUACCUGAUUCAAGACCCACAGCCCCAGCUUAGGUUUCUACCAUCCCACUGAAUGAGCCCCCGUCUCAGACAGCGCAGGCUGUUAUAACUGGACGUCGUAGGCUGGGGGGCUUCAACGACAGGAGUUUAUUUCUCCCAGCUCUGGAGACCGAGAAGCCCCAGGUCAAUGUGCUGGCCGAUUCAGCUCCUGUUAAGGGCCCGGCUUACAGGCUGCCUCCUUGGAGCUGAGGCUUUGCGGUGGUGAGAAACGGGCAACACCACAUCGAAGGGAUGGCCGUGGGAAUAAAGGCUGACCUGGGACAGCGCGUGAGAUUCUUGCAACAGAAAAGCCGCAUGUUGGAUGGGUCAUCUGUCUGGAUAUUCAGAGUACUGAAAGCAGUGACAAAAGUGGUGGUGGAAGAGCUGAAAUCCGCGUGCUAAACUUAUCGAUAAAUGAGGGGGCACAAGGAGGAGGAACGUAGGUGACACAAAAGGAGUAGGACAUGACAGAGCCCCAGGGCGCGCGUUUCCAGUGCACUGGAAGACUUCAGAGCGUGGGAAGAACAAGGGCUGGGGCAGGGCGGGACGCAAGGAGACUCGCCCGGCUCCAAGCCCAGGGUUUGAAGAAGGUGGGGAGAGGAAAUGAAAGAAAGGACACCACCUGCGAGGCCUACAGGGGAUUUUCGUCGGGGCUGCGAGAAGAUGAAGAAAAUUUUCAGAAAAGAAUUUGAGUCUCUAGGGGAUUUUGCUGAUGACAGACCCUGAGUCCGUAAGGCACAGUGCGAGGGUUUGGGGGGCUGGGGAGGGUCCAAACCCAACGGCAAGACGGGGUGAUGUGGGGUGGGCUGGGACGCUGGGUUUCUCGUGGCUUCCAAGGUGGACAGGCCAUGCUGUGGAGAGGAUGCCAUGGGAAAUGAGUCCUCGUGGAAGAUUAUUUGUGAUCACUGCCUUUUCGGGGGGCUGGGCUCUGAGUGCUGAGUCGAGGAGUGUGGAGGGAAAGGAAUUAAGGGUCUCUCCAGAACACUAGUUGAUUGCGAUCUGAAUUAUCGAGGAGACCUCCCUGUUCUCGAUUUCUCUUUGCCAACAGUGUCCUGACUUCCUGCCCUGGUUAAGCCAGUGUGAGCCUCUGAGCAUUCUGCUACUUGGACCAACUUUCCAAGUUGAGCUCAUCUCGGCGCCAGCAGAACACACCUCUUUCAAUCCGCCUAGAAUAAACAGGCCGUAGAAACAAAUAGUUGGGGGUUAGUCAACUCUGCUCAAAGCGUCUGUUUUCCACGUGUCCCACCAGUGAGUACAGGGAAAAAGAAAGUGGAAUCUCAAGAAGUACUGGCCAUAAGGGCCUAUUGGUUAAACUCCCCCUUUGCCUGGUGCCAGACAAUUACCUUUCAUGUAGUCACAGCAGCUUGGGAUGAACGCUGACCUAUAAAGAUCACUUUAUGGUUUAACAGUCCCAAAGGCGGCCUCAUUGGAAGAAUUCUGCCAUCAGCUGGGACCCAUGUUUCCUAGCCCAGCACUGAGAUAAUUUAAAAUAAAUGACCAUUUUGGUGUAUUUGUGCCCUGUUAGACAGGGAGGAAUUUCAAGGGAAAGGUAGAUGCUUAAUGGAGCAGUGAAACAUUUACUGGGCUGACACCUGUUUUAUACAAAAAUUCUGGGCUUUAUACAAACAUAUUAUUAAGUUGCAAAUAUUUGUUGGGAGCGAGUUUUUGCUCUAUAAACAAUCCUAGCUUGGGAAGGCCUUUGAGAAUUUUCUUGAUUUGAAAAUGCAUUUAAUGAUCUGUAAAGGGCAAAAGAAAAAAGGUGCCAAAAUCCACUACGAAUAAAAAUUUCCAUGUUCAACACGGGGAAGUAAUAACGUCGGUAAUCGUUAGGCUUCGUGUUUAUCUGGGCUCUUUCUCCGAGGAGGCUGUGUAAUUCUGCAGCAACGUAGAGAAUGGCUUGUGAACAGCCACUCCCUCAGUCAGCUAUUGAACGAACCGUGAGGGAGGGGGACUCUGUGUGUUUACAGACCUCUGCUCUGACUCUGAGCUCAUUCUUCCCCUUUCCUGCUUUUCUGACAUCUCCUGUUAGAUCCCAGUUUCAGCUAGAUAUGGCAAAACUGAUCUUUCUUUGCUAUCUUGCUCUGAAUUCAUUCUUCCUUUCAUGUAACAAAUACGCACUGGCUCUCAUCACUGUAAGAGGAAAUUUCAGCACAAUCUCUGAUUGAGCUCAUAUACUCACUUUGAAACUGUAAACAACCCCAAAACAUGCACAAGAAGCUGUAAACAACCCAAAGAGUCCAUUGCUGACUCUGAUUCUGACCCCUUCAGGGCCCUGAGAGUGAUGACAUCUCCAAAGUCCCAGUUCCCCCCGUGCCCUACAAGGCCCUAUCUCUCAGGCAAUCUAUUUUGUCCAAAUGUAAAUCACUGCAGUAGCACUUUACAGUGCAUUCCCUCAUUUGAUUUGUCACUGACUUUUGUCAUUUCUUUCUCUGUGACGCUGUCAAAAUCUUUCAUUGCUUUCAUAGUCGAUUCUACACCUCCGGGUGGGAAGGUAGGUGGACCUUCCUAGACAUGUGAGAGCCUGAGUCGUCAACAAUCUGAUGACCCUUCCAACCAAUAUUCUUUAAAUAUUUGUUUACUUAUUUAAUGGAAGCAAAGAGAAACUCAUUUUCUAUUCAUAAAAAUUGCAUACUUUCUAUGUUCAAAAAUGAGAGCUCAACUACUGUGGUCUUCAGAACCAGAAAAUACAUCAGAAGCAAACGGAACCAUGUAAAGAUGUGGUUAAUAAAAUGUCGCUCUAAAAUAAAUUACUUAUUCCCAAUAAA